UACGGAGGGUGCAAGCGUUAUCCGGAAUUACUGGGUUUAAAGGGCGCGUAGGCGGCUUCAUAGGUCAGGGGUGAAAGCCAAUCGCUUAACGAUAGAAUUGCCUGUGAUACUGUAAAGCUUGAAAGCGGUUGAGGUUAGCAGAAUGUGGCAUGUAGCGGUGAAAUGCAUAGAUAUUCCAUAGAACACCGAUGGCGAAGGCAGCUGCCUGGACCUACUGUGACGCUGAGGCACGAAAGCGUGGGGAGCGAACAGG
rnacentral:rRNA from 1 species